CGUUAAUCGGAAUCACUGGGCGUAAAGCGCGCGUAGGCGGUUUGGUAAGUGGGAUUUGAAAGCCCCGGGCUUAACCUGGGAAUUGCAUUUCAAACUGGCGAACUAGAGUGCGGUAGAGGGAGGUAGAAUUUCCUGUGUAGCGGUGAAAUGCGUAGAUAUAGGAAGGAAUACCAGUGGCGAAGGCGGCCGCCUGGAUCGACACUGACGCUAAGACGCGAAAGCGUGGGGAGCAAACAGG
rnacentral:rRNA from 1 species